rnacentral:tRNA from 1 species
GUUUCCGUAGUGUAGUGGUUAUCACAUUUGCCUAACACGUGAAAGGUCCCCGGUUUGAAACUGGGCGGAAACA